GCCACUGUUUUGACCGAGAUGCUCCUGGAAGCCAAGGCACCACGAGAAGCCCGGUGAGGCUGAGGCACUUCUUUUUUCACAGAUGAAGUCUCGCUCUGUCGCCCAGGCUGGAGUGCAGUGGCGCGAUCUUGGCUCAGUGCAACCUCCACCUCCCGGGUUCAAACAAUUCUUGUGCCUCAGCCUCCCGAGUAGCUUGUAUUACAGGAAGGCAGGCAUGUCUAUGCAGGGAUAGACCUUCCACGGGGGAUGCACAGGACACUGCAGAGAAGAGGCAUGCUUCUUAGCAUGGAGCCUGGCCUGUGAGCUCUUCUGAGGGUAAGACCGGUGGUCUGGAAUCCUACAAGUUUCUCCAGCUUUCUUGGGAGGGUGUCCCAUCCUGACAUGACUGAGUACCACUAGCCACUUCUCCUGGGAUGGAAGACUGAGGUUUGAACUCACCAGGCCAAGCCCUUCCCACUCAGUACUUAGCAGUGGCACCUGUGACUUAGCCUUUUCUCCAUCCUCUCCCAAGUGGCCAAUGGUCAGACCUUGGAAGAAGGGUGUUUCAGGGAAGAGAAUAGAAUAGGGAUAUGCGAGUGCCCUUUCAUACCAGAAGAGACUGAAAUAGGGGAUUUAGGGUAUAGUUAGAUGCAGAGAAAUGGAUGAGACCCUUUCAUCUUUGAGCCAAGAACAGUCAGACAUGGUCACUCUCAGCUCCUGACAGCAGGGACUCAGAAGCCUGCUGAGAAGGGCUUAGGUAAAAUGCUCCUAUAGGCCUUUCAGGAGUAAUAUCUGAUUCAGCUUCAUCUGCCCUCCCCCAAUCUCAGCUGCUGAGUUCUUGGGGGUGAGUGACCCACAGCAGGUAGGAGGUGUUCCUAUCCUCCCACAUCAUACCCACAGCUCCCCAUUCUCUCACUCUCAUCAGAUAUCAACUCUAGGCCAAGCCCUGAGGGUGCAGAGGAGCUAGCCCUUCCCCACAAUGUUUGCAGACAAGUGGGAGGGAUAAGAGAGAUAUUUGCUAUUCCAGCAUGAACCCUGUCUUCUGAUUCCCUCCACCCCCCAAAAAGCAAAGCUGGACAUACAGCCCAAUGGAUCCUUCUCGAACUGAUGUGAUAAAAGCAAUAUCACUUUAUUUCAGGAAAGCCUUGAUCUUAUCAACAUCAUACCAGCCUGCCUGUAAUGAUCCUGAUUUUGUUAUG